rnacentral:rRNA from 1 species
GCACCAGACUCCUACGGGAGGCAGCAGUGGGGAAUAUUGGGCAAUGGAGGCAACUCUUACCCAGCAAUGCCGCGUGAAUGAAGAAGGUCUUCGGAUUGUAAAGUUCUUUAAUUGGGGACGAAAAAAAUGACGGUACCCAAGGAAUAAGCCCCGGCUAACUCCGUGCCAGCAGCCGCGGUAAUACGGAGGAUGCGAGCGUUAUCCGGAUUUAUUGGGUUUAAAGGGUGCGCAGGCGGAUUUUUAAGUCGGCGGUCAAAUCGUGGGGCUCAACCCCAUCCAGCCGUUGAAACUGGGGAUCUAGAGUGUGCGAGAGGUAUGCGGAAUGCGUGGUGUAGCGGUGAAAUGCAUAGAUAUCACGCAGAACCCCGAUUGCGAAGGCAGCAUACCGGUGCACAACUGACGCUCAGGCACGAAAGCGUGGGUAUCGAACAGGAUUAGAUACCCUAGUAGCA